GCCCCGCUAGCUCAACCUGGCAGAGCAACGGAUUCUUAAUCCGUGGGUUGCAGGUUCAAUUCCUGCGCGGGGUAUCA
rnacentral:tRNA from 1 species